GGCAGCAGUAUUAACACCUUGUAGCCUGAUUCCAUCAAAUCUUACGAUGCUAAGCAAGUCUGGGCUUGGUCAGUAGUGGGAUGGGUGACCUCCAAGGAAAACCAGGUUACUGCUGACC
rnacentral:rRNA from 1 species